rnacentral:rRNA from 1 species
GACGAACGCUGGCGGCGUGCUUAACACAUGCAAGUCGAACGGAAAGGCCCUGCUUGCAGGGUACUCGAGUGGCGAACGGGUGAGUAACACGUGGGUGAUCUGCCCUGCACUUCGGGAUAAGCCUGGGAAACUGGGUCUAAUACCGGAUAGGAGCCAUUUUUAGUGUGAUGGUUGGAAAGUUUUUUCGGUGUAGGAUGAGCUCGCGGCCUAUCAGCUUGUUGGUGGGGUAAUGGCCUACCAAGGCGGCGACGGGUAGCCGGCCUGAGAGGGUGGACGGCCACAUUGGGAAUGAGAUACGGCCCAGACUCCUACGGGAGGCAGCAGUGGGGAAUAUUGCACAAUGGGCGCAAGCCUGAUGCAGCGACGCCGCGUGGGGGAGGACGGCCUUCGGGUUGUAAACUCCUUUCGCUAGGGACGAAGCUUUUUGUGACGGUACCUAGAUAAGAAGCACCGGCUAACUACGUG